rnacentral:tRNA from 1 species
CAGAGUGUAGCUAAACUAGUAUAGCAUCUCCCUUACACUGAGAAGAUGUCCGUGCAAAUCGAACCACCCUGA